GGCGCCGUUUCUCGCCUGAGUUCUCGACGCUGAACGCUCCUUAAGGACUGCCGAACCCGGGACUGGAGUGUGAGCACCCCAGGGGCUGUCCUGAAGGGGCUUGGAGGCUAGCGGAGCAAAGGACUUUGCCUACAAGCCGAGAGUCCCGUGGAGACAGGAAAAGGAAACGCUCCCGUGUCCUCUCACCCUGUUGUUUCCAGCCUGUGAUGCCCGUCAUUGUAAACAUUUGCUGUGAGCCCUCACAUACCCAUCUGGUGGCACUGGUUUGCUCAGUAAUGACGUUCACCCACAGACCAGAAAAAUUCUCAAGGAGUUGAGAAGCUGUGUGACAUCAUUUUUCCAGCUGAUGUGGAAACUGACGCACAGGAUGGUUAAAAACUGCCCCCAAAUCACAUAACUGUCAAGUGAUAGACCUGGGACUGGAGCUCAGGAGCAGAAAGUUAAUGGAAGGAGCCAGUGUUUCCAGAAGAAACUGUGUUGUUCUAAAGGGAAAUUAGAAAAGAGGAAGGUGACCCCUGAGUAAAGAAGAAUCUAUUUCACUUGAAGACCCUCCCCCAGGGAUCCUUGGCAGAAAGAAAGUUGGCUUUCCUGCUGCUCCAGUGAUUGAUAAGUUAUACCUCUGUCCAUGGUCCUAUUCCUCUGACUCAAACAACUUUAGAAGAAUUCGGAGGGAAGAGCACAGAUGUAUUCUACAUAGAACUGAGAAGCUGAGAGAAGAGGAAAUAUUGUGGGUUCCAGCAGGUCUUGGUACUUGGAAAAAAGUUCUGACUGUCUGCAGUAGACGCCAUCAGCAGAAGGGGAUCCUGCUGGACAGCCUUCUUUGUGUUCAUGAUGAACAGAAUUUAUUGGUGGAGGGAGCUUCACUUGAGUCUCAGUUGCUGAGACCUGGUUGGAUUUCAAGAAGAGGAAAACCCAGAUGUUCUUGGAAGAAGAGAAAAAUACUUAGCAUCUGAAAUUUUCUGCCUUUUUCUGAGAUUUUCACAUUUCUGCACAUGUUCUUCCUAAAGGCUGAAACCAUUUCCACUCCCUUCACCAGAAAACCAGAUUUUUCAUCAGGCUGUCCUCCAGGUUGCCAAGGAAAUAUUGGCUUUCUUCCACCUAUUUGACCUGUAUUUUCUCAAUGUAAGUUGGGUAUGACUCUCACAGUGUAAUUGGGCACCAUGGACCAAUAAAAUCUCCAGUGUUUUUAAGCCAAAUGGUUCAGCCUCUUUGCAUUCCUCAUGGACCUUAAUGGAUAAUGUUUACUUGAGAUGAGGGUUCUGGAUCAGUAACAAAUUAAAAAAUAGUUGAUUUCUUUAGGAGUGAUAGGAUUAGGAAUAAGUAAUUUCUUUUCUUUUUUGCAUCAUGCUGUAAUGUGAUUUGUGCUCUAUCUACCCAUCUAUCACAAGUUUAAAAAAGUAGAACAAUUCUCAUCUUUGGAUGAGAUGGAUCUCAUCACUGGAUCAAGGUCAGGCUGGAUGAUUAUCAGGUAUGCUCUAGAAGAGACACAUUUAAAGAAAACUUGGCUAAGAUGACCUCUCAAAUUCCUUUCACCUUUAAAUUCUGUGCUCUGAAGUUUACCCUCCAACCUUAUGGUGGUGAUGCUCAUAUUCGAAGGACAAGAAUCCCUUCUGUAUACCUUCUUUACUUUGUCUUAAAACUGCAGUUUUUGUGAGAGUGGCAGCUCUGAUAAUUUAAUGGGAAAUCAGAGUGUGUGGGAAAAUAUUCCUAGGAGACUCAGAGCUGUCCAGCAGUGGAAGGACCUGCCCACACUCCAUAUAACUGAAAAGACUUAACAGCAGUUUGGAGCAGGGAUUCAGCAAGGCCACUCUUGACCAGGAGAGGAGUGAGUGUGUAUGAGUACAUGACGUAGAUGAAUAUGCUUACCCAAUCCCAUCUCAAGGAUAUCUUUCCUGCUUUCUGUAUUGUUUUUCAUUUUAAAUGAAGUCAAUGGUCUUUUAAAUCGUGUAGGAAAAGAGAAAGUAUAAUGUACAGAGAGAGAUAGAACAAGAGUUGAAGAGGAAGGAAGGCAAAAAUAGGACUAUUACACUGUACAAGCAGUCUUUCAGCUUGUUAAUUUCAAGCUAUUUAACCAAAUACACACACACACUCUCUCUCUUUCCCUGUGUAAACAUGCCCUAUAAGGAGGUAAGUUCAAGUCUAUAACAGCUUCAUUAUUUAUAUUUUAUAGUCAGUAAUAUAGUCCUUGUAGCACACCAUUUGAAAAAAAUGAAUGUGUCACGUAGUAGCUUACAAAGGCUACCCGGACUGUAUAACUAAAAAAGUUAAAAAUAAAGUUAAUUUUGCCUUAAAAGGUUGCUCAGUCUUUUUCCCUUUGCAAGUGGCAGAUGCAUUGACUUUGAUGAAUGCCCACUUGAUUGAGGUGCUAAAUAAUGAUAUUAAAAUCCUUAAGCAUGUUUAUAAUUUUUUUUAUACAUGGCUUGAUACCUAGCCUUCUUUUUCUUAUAUUUUCUUCUGAAAGGCAGAAUCAGUGUUUCCACAGAUGUCCUAGAUUUGAGAAGAAGAAUGAACUUUGGGGAACAUCUCACCCAGCUCCCUUAUGCUAGGCAAUUAAUUUUUUAAAAAUCCAAUUUUAUAGGUAAAACAACCAAAUACGGAGAGGCCAAUUGCUGGAUAAUAAUUUUUAGUUAUUUUAAAUUUUUUAUAGUAAUGCAUAUUCACUGUAGAAAAUUUGAGAAAUGCAACAAUACACACACACACAACCAAAACUAUCCUGGCAUUAACUUGUUAACAUUCUGAUGUAUAGCCUCCUAUGUAUGAGGUCGCAUAUGUAUGGUCACAUACAUACUUUAUGCGCAACAUUUCUUUGAGAAAAAAAAGAAAAGGCAAAGUGAAAGAGCUGUUGGUCCAUCUGGUCCAAAUGUGGAAUCAUUGUCUGCAUAUUUUAGCCAUCUUUUAUUUGUUUCCUCUACCCUUAGGCCUAAUCUGACAAUAGAUUGUAAAAGAGGUGCCGGGUUUCCUAUUUAGAAGAUAGUACUAGGAUCGUAGGCAAUUCCUUACCUUUCUUUUCCUGAAUAGUGACCCAAGAAAUUGUAAAGGAAAUGUGAUACUGCAAAAAUGGCUUUAUUUUUGUGAGGUAACAGUGGAGGUCCCCAUGUUGACAGCUGCAAAGGUAGUCACAUGCUUAACAGAGCAAUGAGCCCUACAAAGGAAGAAGUUAACUUUAGCUUUGAAAAUCCUUUUAUCCUCCAUGAUUUUGAUGGUUUCAAAUUUGUCACCUGAAUGCGAUAUUAACAUAAUCGUCUGCAUUUUAGUUAAUGAAUGCACCUGCUUCUAAGUCUUUAUUUUAGCAAUUUUAAUGAGCUCUUCAAAAGAGUUUGCCUGGAUUUACUUCACUGCUAGAGAAAUGGCAGCUGUAAGCGACUAGCAACACAUUCAGCAUUUGAAUCAAGCUCUGUGAAGCUGUUAAACUCGAGGAGUAUCUAUCCAUCUGUCUGUGAUAAGGGAAAGGGAAACAAAACUGAGAUGUAGUUGUGACAUUUGGAAAAAGCACUAGAGUAAGUGGAGCUGGUCAGAGACGGUACUCCCUGCUUGGCCGUAAUGUAUGGAUCCCAGGCAGUUCAUUUAAACUGUCUAAAGCCAGUUUCUCAUCUAUAUAAUAAUAGUACCUAUCUCAUAAGCUUGUUGUAAGGGAUUAAAUGCCUCACCUGUUGAAAGCACUCAAUAGUGUUUAAUUUUAUUAUAGUUAUGUUUAUUAAGUAGAUGUGCCUUUAGACAGAUCAAAUUCUGUUUGGCUGUAAGUUGUAAGGUGGAUCUUAGGUGAAUAAUUGCUCAUUGAGCUGUAUAGUAAGAAAAAAACCAAACUGAUCUCUUUUACUUAAGUAAUCAGGAAGUCUAUUUCAGUGCUGAAUCAUACUUUAACCCCACAGUGAAGAUGAUUGAAAUGGAAGGUGUCAACCAAUCCCGUACCCUAUUUAGAAUGUCUAAAUCUUAUGUAGAUAUUAGGAUACUGGGAUAGUUAUUUACUUUUAAUAUCUAUUUUAAUACUUUUUAUUAUAUUAUAAAUGCAUUUCAUUGUUUAUUAUACUCUGAUUUCAACAUCGCUUUUCAUGCUGGUGAUCCUUCUCCUUUUUUUCCAUAUGCUCUUCUGUAUACUUUAAUUUGAAAAGUAGUAAUAACCCAUCCAAUGCUGAAUUGAUUGGAAAAUGAAAAAUAGGACAAAUGUUGCUUUAAAAUACACACGCAGAUACAUUGCAGAUCAAUCAGAGGUAACACCCUGGAAUAAAGAUGCCACAGAUUCUCUCUCAGUAAAAUAGGUAGCAUAACGGUGAGAUAGCUGUUAAGAAAAAGGAAAAUUCUCUAGUUCUCCUUUUAUUUUUUUCAAUAAAGUUGAGACCAUUAUUCUGGCUGAGAUGCAAAUAAUUUAUUUUCUGGAUUCCUUUUCCCCUUUAUACCAUUCUGGCCAACAGUCUUGCCUCAAUAACGGGGACUAGUUCCUUGGUGUUUCACCCCACGUGCCACAGUGCUGGAGAACUACCGGACAAGAUCAGUUUAGGAAUCUCCACCAACUUGUUACAGGGGUUUCUCUAGGAAGUCAUUGCAUUCUAGAAACCACCAACUCAAAUCUACUGGAGUAGGCAGGCUUCUGGUAACUGCUUGCAUCCCCACGUUUCGAAAGAUCCACUUUAUCCAGAUUUGCAAGAGGCAUCUUUACAGAAGACAUUCAGUUCUGCUCUUACACCUUAGCUUAGGAAACGAAUAACCCCAAGGGAGCUCACCUCUAGCUGCCCUUUGACUAUGUUUUGCUAUUGAAGGCAAGCUGACCUCAUAAUGAUGAGGUUUAUGUUGUUUAUGGCCUGACUGCUCACAGCGUGAUCCUCAGAAGGGCAGCAUCAGUGUCACCUGGGAGCCAGUUAGAAACAGAGUCUCAGGCCCCACCCCAGACCUACCAACCAGAAUCUGCAGUUAAGAUUCCUAGGUGAUCCAUAUGCAUAUUUAUGUUUAAGAAGUAGUAGUCCAAGGGAUCUGCCUGAGACAGCUUUUUCCAGCAACAGAAUUUCACCAUCUCCUGUUCCAAAAUUGUAUCCGUCCACUUUCCACUGCCAGUCUCUACACAGAUUUCUGCAGUGCUCCAGGGCAAAUUAUCUUUUAUUUUAGAUGAGCUCCCAACCAGUGGGUCUUGUAGUGAUCUGCAUUUCUAUGGUUCGGGUGUUCAACGUGACAGCCUCCCACUAGCCAAACCAUACCCAUUCCCCCCAAGUCAUCUUGCCCUCCUUAUUCCCACAGCUAUAGUGUUAACCAUGUUCAUAAAUUAUUGUUAAAGAAGGAAAUUACCAAAAGAAAAAAAAUUGUCUCUAUAAACCUGCAUAGUUUAGAGCUAAAGAAUAUGUUAAAAUUUUCCAUCGUGGAAAUUUCCCAGCUACUGGGCUCUUUAGAUUUUUUUUUUUUUCAGAGCUGCAAGCAAAGAAUGGAAAUUUCCAAUUGCAGCAUCAAGGGCUGCUGUUCUGCUGACUGUCUUGCUCAGCCGGGGUCAUCUGCUUCUCUAAGACAUCAAGGAAUGCCAAGAUUUUUGAGGGAUUCUGAAUGACUCUAAGGAGCCAGGACUACCUGUUUACUCUCUUCUUACUGACAGUCCAUGGUACUAGGAAAAGAACAGUUAAGGAGGAUUUCUGACAUCACCAUUGCUAUUUGUACUUAACAUAUUUAUUGAGGCUAGUUUGCUAAUAAUGAAGAUAUUCCAGGAAAAAAAAUCAUCACAUGGCUGGAUUUCAUCCUGGUCAAUAAUUAACUGUGAGACUUAUUCAGGAAAGCAUGGAUUGCUUGGCUAGAAGACUUCAGAAACAUUCAGUUGACCAUAUUCUUGGACACCAGCAAGCACAUUUUUCAAGGCUUGGGGGCUGAAAUGAGGCCAACCUCUUUCACAAUCAAUACUAAAGGAAAAAUACUUAAGAAGAGGAGGAAGUGGUGAAUUUUAAAUGUAUUAAUUUAUUUAUUUUCUUCCUAUGA